rnacentral:rRNA from 1 species
GACGAACGCUGGCGGCGUGCUUAACACAUGCAAGUCGAACGGAAAGGCCCUGCUUUUGUGGGGUGCUCGAGUGGCGAACGGGUGAGUAACACGUGAGUAACCUGCCCUUGACUUUGGGAUAACUUCAGGGAACUGGGGCUAAUACCGGAUAGGAGCUCCUGCUGCAUGGUGGGGGUUGGAAAGUUUCGGCGGUUGGGGAUGGACUCGCGGCUUAUCAGCUUGUUGGUGGGGUAGUGGCUUACCAAGGCUUUGACGGGUAGCCGGCCUGAGAGGGUGACCGGCCACAUUGGGGCUGAGAUACGGCCCAGACUCCUACGGGAGGCAGCAGUGGGGAAUAUUGCACAAUGGGCGGAAGCCUGAUGCAGCAACGCCGCGUGCGGGAUGACGGCCUUCGGGUUGUAAACCGCUUUCGCCUGUGACGAAGCGUGAGUGACGGUAAUGGGUAAAGAAGCACCGGCUAACUACGUG